rnacentral:tmRNA from 1 species
CUGGCCCACCGUAUCGGGCCAUUUUCUAACUGCGAACGAUAACUUCGCUGGAGAAGUCGCUCUCGCCGCGUAAUGCGGUUCGGGUGAUUUCGAAUCUUAAGUCCUAGGGGUUCAGAUCCUUGGGCGGGGCCUGUCGGGAGCCUGGCAACAGAAUCCCGGCGUU